rnacentral:rRNA from 1 species
GAUGAACGCUGGCGGCGUGCCUAAUACAUGCAAGUCGAGCGAACAGACGAGGAGCUUGCUCCUCUGACGUUAGCGGCGGACGGGUGAGUAACACGUAGGUAACCUACCUAUAAGACUGGGAUAACUUCGGGAAACCGGAGCUAAUACCGGAUAAUAUAUCGAACCGCAUGGUUCGAUAGUGAAAGAUGGCUUUGCUGUCACUUAUAGAUGGAUCUGCGCCGCAUUAGCUAGUUGGUAAGGUAACGGCUUACCAAGGCAACGAUACGUAGCCGACCUGAGAGGGUGAUCGGCCACACUGGAACUGAGACACGGUCCAGACUCCUACGGGAGGCAGCAGUAGGGAAUCUUCCGCAAUGGGCGAAAGCCUGACGGAGCAACGCCGCGUGAGUGAUGAAGGUCUUCGGAUCGUAAAACUCUGUUAUUAGGGAAGAACAAACGUGUAAGUAACUGUGCACGUCUUGACGGUACCUAAUCAGAAAGCCACGGCUAACUACGUG